rnacentral:misc_RNA from 1 species
GAUGAAGAACGUAGCGAAAUGCGAUAAGUAGUGUGAAUUGCAGAAUUCAGUGAAUCAUCGAAUCUUUGAACGCACAUUGCGCCCCAUGGUAUUCCGUGGGGCAUGCCUGUUCGAGCGUCAUUUACCCCCUCAAGCUCCGCUUGGUGUUGGGCGUCUGUCCCGCUUCGCGCGCGGACUCGCCCCAAAGGUAUUGGCAGCGGUCGUGCCAGCUUCUCGCGCAGCACAUUGCGCUUCUCGAGGCACCGGCGGGCCCGCGUCCAUCAAGCUCACCCCCCAGUUUGACCUCGGAUCAGGUAGGGAUACCCGCUGAACUUAAGCAUAUCAAUAAGCGGAGGA